rnacentral:tRNA from 2 species
GAGAGAGGCUUGCCAGCAACGAAGACUGCUAACCCUCGUCCCCUCGGUUGGAUUCCGAAGCUCCCUCG